UACGGAGGAUCCGAGCGUUAUCCGGAUUUACUGGGUUUAAAGGGUGCGUAGGCGGCUCCCUCAGUCAGCGGUGAAAUGUAUCGGCUCAACCGAUAACCUGCCGUUGAUACUGGGGAGCUUGAGUUGGGUUGAGGCAGGCGGAAUGUGCGGUGUAGCGGUGAAAUGCUUAGAUAUCGCACAGAACGCCGAUUGCGUAGGCAGCUUGCCAAGCCCACACUGACGCUGAGGCACGAAAGCGUGGGGAUCAAACAGGAUUAGAUACCCUGGUAGUCCACGCCGUAAACGAUGAUAGCUCGCUGUUGGCAAUACACCGCCAGCGGCCAAGCGAAAGCGAUAAGCUAUCCACCUGGGGAGUACGGCCGCAAGGCUGAA
rnacentral:rRNA from 1 species